CGUGUCCCUGCCGCGCGUUCGGCCGAGGCGGCGCUCGCGUCGGCGCGCGGGUCCGCUCGGGGGGCGUGCGGCGGCCCCCGGGCCCGCC
rnacentral:tRNA from 1 species